CGGGGGCGAAUCUCUCGGCUUGAGCAGAGCAGCGGCAGCUGCGGGCCCGCCCACUCGUGCUCCGCUCGGUUCCGGCUCCUAGGCAGCCCGUGGGCCGCUCUCCGGGCCGGCAGGGACCCAAGCAUGGCGGCCUUAACACACGCGGCACCACAGGUACCCGACAACUCCUCCGGCUGAGGCGCCGGGUGCGUGCCUCCCGCAGGGCAGACUGGACCAAGCCGCAUUCUUCAGUGGACGAUGGCCCUUGUCAAUCACUGAGGAAACUAGACCUUGGGUGUGGCCGGACAUCCGGGGCUUUCCACCCUCGGAGAGAGGCGGGCUUGAGGUGGGGGAGAUGAAAGGAUGUCAUACCCAAUAGCAAUCAAGGCCUUUGGCCUCGCGGCAGAUUGGCAGGUGCUUGAACCACUGAAGCCCCGCAGAGGGAUAUCGGCGCUCUGGCAGUGAUUGGUUCAGUUCGCGGGUGGGUGGUUUUCUCCGUGCGUUGGUUCCUCGCAGUUGAUAAAUCGGUCACAGUAGCUAUAAUUAACGCGGUCGGGGUUGGAGAACCACCGCGCUGAGCCCAACCAUGAUCGUCGGAAAUGUGUGCAACUCAGUGAACAAAAGCGGAGAUUAAAUGGAUGGUAUUCAGUAGAAAAUGGGACAUGAAUGGACACUUUACAGAAAAAAAAAUGCAAGAGGCUCCUAAACAUUUAAGCGUGUGCUCAGCCUUUUUCAUAAUCAGAAGAGUUCAAAUGAAAACCUCACUGAGCUAACGCUUCUGUUCCAUUAGGUUGUCAAAAAUCCAAAAGUUUAACAAGGGCGGUUCCCUGGACUCACUGGGACUGGAACUGUCUUACAGCUGCCAGCGCUCCCCACCACCAUGGGAACCCCUGUGCUGAAGAUGAAAAGCCAAAGCCGAACUGACCAGUCUCUGCAACCCCAAGCAUCACCAUGUGAGGACAGUGUGGUGUGGUGCUGCGGGGAUCCCACGCAGUGCCGCGAGGGGUGACCACGUGCAGGGGGCAGAGGUGGGGGGUAGCAAGCAGAUGCCGCCAGCAUGCCUGGGUGCCACAGGGAGCAUGCGGGCUGAGCAGUGAUGGGAAUGAACGUGAACUCCGGUCCCGCCCCAUGAAGUCCUCCAGCCCCUCCUCUCAAUUCGGGGCACCAGGUGGUAACUGCAGCAUGCAGAGUCAGGGACUCUUCCCUCAUCCCAAGAGCAGCACCUUGGGCACAGCCUCCAUCCCACAGAACACCCAAGGGUGGUUUGGUGGUCUAGAGACCUCCGAAGAUCCAGUGGGGAAGGAUGGAUAACAGAGGGUCUACUCUCUAAGGGGAAGGGAUUUUCCCUCCCCACUGCCAAGGUCCCAGCUCUGGAAGUGGGUGGCAGUGGCCGUUCACCCCCAGCCUGAGGCCUGUUCUUUCCUGUUCUAAGAGGCCCUCCAGAUCCAUCUGCUUGAGCAACCUCUGUCCCCAGGGAUCUUCAAGGCUGGCAGGUGUGUCCAGGGACCGAAACCUUUUUCUUCAAAGGGCCAGAUACUAUUUAGAUUUGGGAAGGCAGUGUGGUCUCUGCUGCAGUGACUCACCGCAGUCACUGUGGCGCGAAGGGGCACAGACCACAGGAAAAUAGGUGAGUGUGGUGUCGUUGCUGUUCCUGCCAUGCUGAGUUGACACAGCCGGGCAGGGGAUCAGGUGUGGCCCGGCCGUUGUCUGCCAACCCUUGCCCUGAUCCUAAGAACCUGCCUGUCCCACAGCUUGGGAGCACAGACCGCUGUCAGGGUGUCUGCUGGGCACUGUGCAGAAGCUGCCUCACCUUCUCAGGGUCAGACCUGACAAGGCCACAGGGUGAUGACAUCCACAUUCCUGAAGCCUGAGGUCCCAGAGCGACAGAGCCCCCAGCCUCCGAGGGGCACUAGUGCCCCAACCUGCUGGCCCAUUAGGCCCCUCCAGGAACUCAGAGACUUAACGCCCCUCCAAGAACCUCUGCUCCCAGACGGGGCCUUUUCUGCCAGUGAUUCCUGGUGCUUGAGAAGAAUGAGGAGGGCACACGUGGGAAACGUACGAAUUGGUUAUGAAGGCGAUGGAGGAGGGGAGGUUGAGGCCGCGUCAGUUGUGUUGGGGGCAUGUUAGCACACAGUAGGAGGGGAGCACUGCUAGUCUAAGAAAUCAGUGUCCUUACCAAAAGGAUUUGCAAGAAUAUGUGUGGCUCAGGACCUAAGGAACUUGCUACAGGGAAGUGAGGUCAGAGGUCAGCUCAAUCCUGAAAUAUAAAUGCAGCAAACCUGGUCAUGCCAAGAGGCAGCAUCCUUAGCACCUGAGGAACCAGGGCUCCUGCCAGGGUCUUCCUCCUGGCUGUGAUUACACUGCCGCCCCUGCCCACCCAGGGAGAAGCACUUUCCUGCUGAGGGUCGAGAGAGCUGAUGCCAGCACUGGGUGGGGAGACAGGGCCUGUCACAGGCAGAGCAGCUCUGAGGCUAGAGGGCCGCCUGCUGGCUGGUCUGGCACGAAGUCAUGAAAGGGCGGUUGAGUUCUGAUUCGGAAAUCAUAAACCUCCCCCUCCGCUGGGACCCUAGACUACUGGCCUCUGCUGAUGAGUAGGGGGGAUUCCCAUGAGCUGCUCGGGGUUGCCAGGCUUGGAAAAUGGCACAACCACCACCUAGACUUCUGCCUUAAACAAAGGACUCCAGGCCAUGCUGCAGAAGGGCAGCAGUGUGGGUGAGUGCCAGGAGCCUGCUGGGCCUGGUGCAUGUCACUGUGCCUCUGCCGAGGCGUCUCCAGCUUCCCCACUGCGCCCAGCGCACCCCUUCCCACCCAGUGCCCAGUGGCUGUGCAGGAGAUGUCCAGAUGGGAAGGGGGAGCCCAAUUCCAAUGAGAAGCCACAGCCGCACCGCCUGGAGCUACAAGGCGCUGCUGCAGGUGCCAGCCUGGGAGGCCACUGAAUGAUGAACACCAGGAAUCUGCUGUGUCCCGAAGGAGAAGCUGAGAAGUCAGCUCUGCUGGGGACUCUGUGUUGUUCCCUUAAAUCCUACGAGACAGCCAGAGAGAAAGCCGUCCCGCUCCUAGCCCACGCCUGUCUCCAGAUGCCCAUCCCUCCCGGCAUCUGCAGCACUCCGCCUGCUCUGGCCCUGCCCAGCGGGUCCCGGCUGCUGAGCUCAGAGGUGACAGCUCUGGCAAGCAGAGCACAGCUCAUCUCGGGACACACACUGCGCCUGCCUGGGCUUGGGGAGGUAGGCCCUGCAGCCCAGGAGGCUCCUGUCAGCCCCCUGUCCCCCCUAUUGGAAGUCUGAAAACAUGCAUGCACGAAGCCCAGAGUGGCCAGGCCAGGGAUUCGGGAUUUGCCAGAGUGGGUUUGACGUGUGUAUUGCUGAAGAGGCAUAGCCCGAUCUGCCACUCCCUGAGGGCAGACAUCCCACUGCUGCCUGCAAAAAAGGGACAGAUCUCGAGGCCUGAAGAGGGCACAUGGGGGGGGGGGCACAGAGGAAGCCAGACCUGUGUCCUGGAGUGGACACAGGCUCCAGGCACAUGAGCCAUGGUGAGAAAAGCUGAGCUUCUGGAGGGGAGAAGCCCCGUCGGGGAGCAACCUCUUGGUUCUUCAAUCCUGCAGGUUAUCAGGCAACACCUUGGGCCAGCCCAGGGCAGAGCUGUUGGCUUCUUAUCAACCUCCACUAACUAAAGGACCAGUGAGGGAGGCGUGGAGAGAUCCUCAGCUGCUGUUCUGGAAGCGCUGCCCUCUGUCCCCAACAUCCUGUCCAAUAGCCCAAAAAGCCAGGCCCCUCCCCUCUAGCUUUAGCCCUCAUACUACCAGAUAGGCUGAUGUGGACCUAUGGGGAGGCGGGGGGCUCUCAGGGUGAAAGGAAGAAGUUUCUAGAUUUGAAUUCAAAACCCAAACAUUUGGUUGGUUGUGGUGGUUCACUUGAGACCAGGAGUUCGAGACCAGCCUGGGCAACAUGGUGAAAUCCUGUCUCUACAAAAAUACAAAAAUUAGCUGGGUGUGUGGCACACGCCUGUAAUCCCAGCUACUGAGGAGGCUAAGGCAGGAGAAUUGCUUGAACUUGGGAAACAGAGACUGCAGUGAGCCAAGAUCAGGCCACUUCACUCCAGCCUGGGCAACAGAGUGAGACUCCAGUGUCUUAAAAAAAGAAAAUAAAAGAAAAGAAAACAUUAAAAAAUCCUGCCAGCUUG